GCCUCGGAGCCCCUCCGAAGCUGUGACGCGACGGCCCCGGCGCGCAGGGCAAUGUUGGGCCAGCGGCCGGCCGUGAGGAAGCCAGCGAGCUGGCCCCCCCCGGGGCUUCUCGAAGGCGGCGGGGCAGGCCCGAGCCGGGCUUCCGCAGCCAGGGUUGGGAGGAGGAGAGGACCCCGCGGCGCGGGUGAGUGCCCAGGUUCAUUCAUGCAGAGGGCAUUUAUUGGUGUCUGCAGUACUGCACAAGGUUGCAAAGGAAAUGGGAGAGCUGCUCCGUGCAGGUCAGGAGUUUGCAGUCUAAUUGGGAACACACGGCAUAAUGUUGUUCUUACUUUGUGACUGGUGCAGUGCAAAAUCCCCUAACUCAACUGUCUGCUGUCUAACCUCCAUGACCCAGAAGACUGGGAGGAUUCUGCUUGGUACUUGUGGCCUUGCAAUACAGAGUUGGAGGCAGGGGGAUGCGGGACAGGGGCAGGUAUAAAGCAAGAGAUAUGCUGGGGUAUAGCCCUCCAUUCAAAUGCUGCACACCUAGUGAUACAGCACCCCGGCUUGGACACCUUAAUCAAUUUUGGCACUAUUAACCAUUUUGGCUGGAUCAUUCAUUGUUGUAGGAUGUUGCCCUGUGCAUAACAAAAUGUUAGAUGCAUCCUUAGGAUCUAUGUAGUAGAUGACACUAGAACACCCUCCUCCCAUAGUUGUGACAGCCAAAAAUGUCUUCAGACAUUGCUAAUGUCUCCUGGGGUGGGCCAGGAGGGCUGGGACUGCCCCUUUUUGAGAACUACUGCCUUAAUCCAAGAUCAAAUCCAUCAACUUAACCCUGCAGGAAAAUCAUACCAGUCAAGUCACUUGCAGGAAAUACAUCUUCUAUUACUCUAAGAUUCUCAGAUCUCCUCUAUCCUAUGUUUCAAGGAGCAGGACUUUGCCUGCUGCAUUGUGAAUUGGCAUCUCUUCUGUUUUCCACGUCUCCUUCUCUUUUAUGCCCAGAUCAAUGUGUUCAUUUCUGAAAGCCAACAGCUUUCAAAAACGUAGUAGAGAGAGUCCUUUUUUAGAAAACUUUAUUUAAUAAAUAUAAAUUUUGAAAGUACA
rnacentral:lncRNA from 1 species